rnacentral:rRNA from 1 species
AACCAGUACCGUGAGGGAAAGGUGAAAAGCACCCCGACGAGGGGAGUGAAACAGUUUCUGAAACCGGACGCCUACAAGCAGUCGGAGGGGCCUUGCGCCCUGACGGCGUACCUUUUGUAUAAUGGGUCAACGACUUGGUCUGUCUGGCAAGCUUAAGCCGUUAGGUGUAGGCGCAGCGAAAGCGAGUCUUAAAUGGGCGACAUAGUCAGACGGAUCAGACCCGAAACCAGAUGAUCUAGGCAUGAGCAGGUUGAAGGUUGGGUAACACCAACUGGAGGACCGAACCCACACCUGUUGAAAAAGGUCGGGAUGACUUGUGCCUAGGGGUGAAAGGCCAAUCAAAUCUGGAGAUAGCUGGUUCUCCGCGAAAGCUAUUUAGGUAGCGCCUCGGACGAAUGCCCACGGGGGUAGAGCACUGCAUGGAUGAUGGG